rnacentral:rRNA from 1 species
GUGAGGAAUAUUGGUCAAUGGGCGGGAGCCUGAACCAGCCAAGUCGCGUGAAGGAAGAAGGAUCUAUGGUUCGUAAACUUCUUUUGCAGGGGAAUAAAGUGCAGGACGUGUCCUGUUUUGUAUGUACCCUGAGAAUAAGGAUCGGCUAACUCCGUGCCAGCAGCCGCGGUAAUACGGAGGAUCCGAGCGUUAUCCGGAUUUAUUGGGUUUAAAGGGUGCGUAGGUGGUUUGAUAAGUCAGCGGUGAAAGUUUGCAGCUUAACUGUAAAAAUGCCGAUGAAACUGUCUGACUUGAGUGUAAAUGAGGUAGGAGGAAUGCGUGGUGUAGCGGUGAAAUGCAUAGAUAUCACGCAGAACACCGAUUGCGAAGGCAGCUUACUAAGCUACAACUGACACUGUAGCACGAAAGCGUGGGGAUCAAACAGGAUUAGAUACCCGUGUAGUCC